AUCAACGCCUUCAGGGCCAGGACGGACUCUAGGGGAUGAACAGGGGCACCUCACACCACACUCUCAUUCCAUGCUUCCAGAAUGCCUUCUGGGAUUGUUUUGAUUUCACGCUGUACACCUCUUCUCAAAGAACAAGCUUGUGGAGAGCAGAGGCCAGGGGAACCCUCAUUGUGACUCCAGUUUCAGCAGCUCCAGGUCACCUUGGGGAACUGAAGCACCUUGGACUUCAGCAGCUUGGAGAUAUUCUCUUUCAUGCUACCCUCCACAGCUGUGAGCUUGGUGGCCACUGAGGUGUUCAGUUGACC